CCGGACACCAGCUCGUGGCCCCGCCAGCUGCUACAGGAGGGGGGCUGUGGGCUGGCUGAGGCCCAACAGGCGCCCCCUCCCCUGGGCCUCAAUGUCCCCACCGUGGAGAUGCUGGUGCACCCAUCCUGACACAGUGCUGCUGCUCGGGGUCCUGGUCUCUGCCCUGAUGACACGCGGCAGCCUUGGACCAUGGGGCCAGGACCCGUCGGAGGAACAGGCCCCCCCGCCCACACAGACCGGGUCACCCUCCCACUACCCGGAGCCAUGUGGAGCCUCCCCAUACCAGCUCUUGUGUCUCACGUGGGACAUACACACAGCCACGUGCAUACGCACAUAUACAAUAUGCACAUACACACCAUGUACACAUACACAUACCACACACACGUACACACACCACACACCAAUGCCACACAUGUACACACACACCCCACGUACACCAUGCAUACACACCCCAUAUACAUACCACACACCACACACUCACACAUACCACACACACCACACCUACACACAUACUCACAUGCACACCACAGACAUACGCACACACACACCCCACACACAUAUGCACAUGUACCACACACCCUCCCCAUCUCUGGUCUGUUACCCCCACCGAGGCAGCACCUCCAGGGAGGAGCUCAGGGACAUGGUGCUUGACCCCCAAGGGAGACCAUCCUGGGAAACCGUAUCAAGGUUGUUGGUGUCACAAGAGGGACAGAGCUCGAGCUCUGGCAUAGGAGGAACAGAGCCCUUCAAGUGGCAACCCGUGAGCUUGGGCAGACUCCUAGUCCCCUCUGUGUGCACGGACUACUGCUGCUCGGGGUGUCUGAGAGGUUCCCCGAGCUGCCAUCCAGUGUCCGGUGCUCACCACGGGGCCUGGGCACCCACGGCACUCUCGGUGGAUGCCCACCAGCAUCCCUGCUACUGUCCCUGCUACAGACUAUUCUGUGUCAGCCAGGACUGCACCUCACAGGAGGAGAAACCAAGCCACCUGACCAGCGAUGACAGACAGAAAGGCAGGCCGAAUGAGAGAAUGUCAGGGUGGGACUCAAAGCAUCUUCCCCGACCCCUGCAAGCUCUGACAUUCUAUUGCUGCAUAAUAAGCUAC
rnacentral:lncRNA from 1 species